GGAUCGGGGGCAGCCGCAUCCGGUGCCGCCGGUUCCGGCUCGGCCAAGCCCGACGCUGCCGGUUCGGGUCCGGCUGGUUCC
rnacentral:tRNA from 1 species